GAAUAACUGACUGUUGGGUAUUCAGCCAUAGACUGGACAGCUUUUCCAGCACCCUCAGCUCCCCAGGACUCAGAGAACAUUAAGGAUGUGGAGGCGGAAGGACUGUAAGGAAUCCAAGGACAACCUCAACCUCAGCUUCCUCCUGAAUGCCAUGGGGACUUGCUGCAGCUGCAGAGGGAGCCCAGAGUGUAUGCUUCCUCUCCUUACAACGUGCAUUCACCCGACCCUUCCGUGUGGAGACUGUGCGAUCCUCCCUCCUCACGGCUCUGAGGGCUGGCUUUGGAGCUGGAUACAACUCUGGAAUCAUUUGCUAUUGUCCUGCCCCUGUGUGAGGCAGGAAGAGCCCUGAGGUGUCCAUCGUCUGCUUCCUGAGAGAGACGGGCACUUGCGCUGUUGGGGAGGGAUGGACCUGGAAUAUGCCCCACCCCACAAUCCCCCCGAGAAUCCUGCUGUAGGAGAUGUUCCCUUUGACCCUACUGGCCACCCCACUAGAAACGCCCUCUUCAGAUCUGCCCGCCUCUUCCACUUUGGCCGGACUCCUUUUCUCCUUCAGCAUCUUUUCUAUCCACCCGUGUGGCAAGAGGCCCCUCUAAUUUUCUCCCAUCACAGCCAUGCUCCAUGUGGAAGCCAGAUCUACGGCCACGACAGCAGGCAGGAGCCUUCUGCUGACAGAGGUUGAGAAGCUGCCUGCCUGCCGUCCCUGGGGGUUUAGAGCCAGCCUUGCAGCGGCCUUGUUCAUUGGGAUAAUUUUAUCAAGAUUUCCUUCCCCCCUGCUCUAUUGCUUGCUUCCUUGGUUACUUUAUUAAAAUUUAAAAUUACUUAUUAAAGUUACUUUUUCUCAUGUGACAAAAGUACAGCUUUUAUAACUUCAGCCACAAAGCGUUGGUGAAUCUUCCUAGGGGACGCUAGGGGUGCAG